UUCAGUGUGAGCACGCACAUACGUAAAUGCACGCAAAGACUGCUGAAUUCUGCACAAACACUGGCUGGAGUACUGUCUGUGAUCAGCAGUUGGCUUACUGGCAAGCAGGCCCAGAACUGUAGGUCAGGAUCUCCAUUCAUGCUGUGAUCUGUCCGUGGUACUUGGCAAAGCUCACUAGCAAUGUGAAAAGAUUCCCAGCCAGCCAUGAAAGCACAGUUGAUUUAAAGCUAUCCGAGAUGGGAAAUUGUGCUCUUCACUCACUUUUCCUCUUUCCACUUGCUGGGAAGGGAUGACAACCUGAGCAACCAUCUUAGACCUAGGAAUGAAGCCAUGGAGCCUUCCACCAGCUGCAUACCUGGAUGACUAUGUGGAGCAGAGGCACCCAUUCAUUCCUGUCUUAUUUGAGUCCAUUUAUUUUGGAGAAACCCUCUUUUUGCCAUUUUUUCAUAUGCCAACUGCUUUGUUGCUCUCUCAACUAGACUCCAAGUAAGAAAUGACAUCUGGUCUUCUUUUUUUUUUUAAGUUUAUUUUUUUUUAGUAAUCUCUACACCCAUGUGGGGUGCGAACUUACGACCCUGAGAUCAAGAGUUGCAUGCUCCUCUGACUGAGCCAGCCAGGCGCCCCGACAUCUGGUCUUAAUAAAUAGUGAGAGAAACUUGAAUGUAGCUGAACUCCUUUUGAGGUAUAUUUGGAUGACAAAUACAUACAU